GACGAACGCUGGCGGCGUGCCUAAUACAUGCAAGUUGAGCGAUGAAGAUUGGUGCUUGCACCAAUUUGAAGAGCAGCGAACGGGUGAGUAACGCGUGGGGAAUCUGCCUUUGAGCGGGGGACAACAUUUGGAAACGAAUGCUAAUACCGCAUAACAACUUUAAACAUAAGUUUUAAGUUUGAAAGAUGCAAUUGCAUCACUCAAAGAUGAUCCCGCGUUGUAUUAGCUAGUUGGUGAGGUAAAGGCUCACCAAGGCGAUGAUACAUAGCCGACCUGAGAGGGUGAUCGGCCACAUUGGGACUGAGACACGGCCCAAACUCCUACGGGAGGCAGCAGUAGGGAAUCUUCGGAAAUGGACGAAAGUCUGACCGAGCAACGCCGCGUGAGUGAAGAAGGGUUUCGGAUCGUAAAACUCGGUUGGUAGAGAAGAACGUUGGUGAGAGUGGAAAGCUCAUCAAGUGACGGUAACUACCCAGAAAGGGACGGCUAACUACGUG
rnacentral:rRNA from 1 species